AUUGAACGCUGGCGGCAGGCUUAACACAUGCAAGUCGAGCGAGCGGCGGACGGGUGAGUAAUGCUUAGGAAUCUGCCUGAUGGAGGGGGAUAACUACUGGAAACGGUAGCUAAUACCGCAUACCAUCAGACGUGCCCAGAUGGGAUUGGCUAGUAGGGGGGGUAACGGCUCACCUAGGCGACGAUCCCUAGCUGGUCUGAGAGGAGGACCAGCCACACUGGAACUGAGACACGGCCCAGACUCCUACGGGAGGCAGCAGUGGGGAAUAUUGCACAAUGGGCGCAAGCCUGAUGCAGCCAUGCCGCGUGUUGGAAGAAGGCCUUCGGGUUGUAAAGCACGUUCAGCGGGGAGGCGUUACCCGCAGAAGAAGCACCGGCUAACUCCGUGCCAGCAGCCGCGGUAAUAC
rnacentral:rRNA from 1 species